GUGGGCGGGUUGUGGGAGUAAUUGUGGCAUGCUGGGGGCGUGGUUGUGGGGCUGAGGACGAGGUGGUGGGGGCUGAGGGCGUGGUUAUGGGUGGGGGCGGGGUCUGCGCGCCGGGAGGGGCUGUGGGUCCAGCCCCUGCCCCUCACUCUGGGCAAAUCCCCUCUUCCCUCUGGCAUCAGGACUUCUGGGGCUUGAAGACCCUGGGUCUGCGGGAAGCCCCUGCUGAGCGUCCCUCGCCUACCCCGUGGCCAGUGGGACAAACUUAGCCUUCCGUUCUGUUGGUCUGUGAUGACCGUUUCCACGUCCUGCUUUCUGAGAGCAUUUGCCUGGUGUAGACGUCCCCGUUUUCAGCGGUUAUGCGUCCCUCUAGUUUCGGUGAUGCCCUGAGGUUUACUUCCUGCAUUUUUAAGCCCACGUUUCCCCAGCACUCAUGUGUGGCCAGCGUCUGAUUCUUCCUCCAGAGCAAGACAGGGAAGCCACUGCACUUCAGCUGCCUUCACAAGUCUCCUCUGCCACCCCCGCUGAGGCCGUCUGGAAGUUUAAUUCUAGGCUAUUAUUAAAUUUCUAUAAAAUUGUUUCAACUUUACUGAGAUAUAAUUCACAAAUAGGAAUUGUGUAUAGUUAAGGUGUAUGACUUGAUGUUCUGAUACACGCUGUGAAUGAUCACUGCAGUCAAGCUAUUUCACAUGCUCACACCUCACAGUGACUACCAAGUUGGUGAAAAGAGUAACUGCGGUGUUUGCAAUUAGAAGCAAUUAUUUUUGCACCAACCUAAAAUAUUUUCUUUUUUUUUUUUUUUUUGUCGCCCAGCCUGGACUGCCGUGGUGAAAUCUUGGCUCACUGCAGCCUCUGCUUCCCAGGUUCAAUCAAUCUUGCCACCUCAGCCUCCCCAGUAGCUGGGACUAUGGGCACGUGCCACCAUGUCCAGCUAGUUUUUUUUGUUUUUUUUUUUUUUUGUAUUUUUAGUAGAGAUGGGGUUUCGCCAUGUUGCCCAGACUGGUCUUGAACUCCUGGCCUCAAGUGAUCCACCCACCGUCGGCCUCCCAAAGUGCUGGGAUUACAGGCAUGAGCCACCGCACCAGCUUCUUUUAUUUUCUUUGUGUGUGUUGAGAACACUUAAGAUCUAUCCUCUCAGCCCAUGUCCAGCAUCCAGUACAGCAUUGUUAACCAUGGCCACCUAGGACAGCGCUCCCCAGAAACUGAAUUUGCCAGCACCUUGAUCGUGGACUUCCAGCCUCCAGAACAGCGAGAAGAAUCGCUUCUAGGUUUUGACCAGCCGGCCUGUGGCAUUUUGCUACAACAGCCUGGGCAGCCUGCAGUGCUCUGUGCUUUGUUCUCUUUCAUUUUGUUUUGUUUUCUGUAAUUCACCUUUGAGAAACUCGUUCAGGAAGGAUGCAUGGGUGACAUUUUCUGCAUCCUCACAUUUUGUCACUGGGUGUGGCCGGGUCUGUGAGUCUAGACACAAAGCCAGUCACCUGGGGACGCUGCCACCUGAAGGCCUGCGUGGCCGGGUCUGUGACUGUAGACACAAAGCCAGUCACCUGGGGACGCUGCCACCUGAAGGCCUGCGUGGCCGGGUCUGUGACUCUAGACAAAAAGCCAGUCACCUGGGAACUCUGGGACACCCUCUUCUCUCACCCAUUGCUGUGGGGAAGCCUGGGGAUGGGUUUUCUUGUUUUGGUUUUUUAUCAUGUUGGUGUUUUGUUUUGUUUUUUUUUUGAGAUGGAGUUUCCCUCUUGUCUCCCAGGCUAGAGUGCAAUGGCGUGAUCUCGGCUCACUGCAACCUCCGCCUCCUGGGUUCAAGCGAUUCUCCUGCCUCAGCCUCCUGAGUAGCUGGGAUUACAGGCAUGCACCACCACGCCUGGCUAAUUUUUGUAUUUUUAGUAGAGACGGGGUUUCACCAUGUUGGUCAGGCUGGUCCCGAACUCCUGACUUCAGGUGAUCCACGCACCUCGGCCUCCCAAAGUGCUGAGAUUACAAGCAUGAGCCAUCGCACCCAGCCCAUAGUGGUUUUUAAAUCUUUCCUUUUGCCCUCAUUGUUCUAAAAUUUUAUGAAGAUGAAGACAUAUCUCGUGUCUCAUUCACGGAGAGCCGAUUCUGUAACAGCCGCUGCUCUGGGCGCCGGGAGAAACCGUGAGGAGCAGGCAGAGCUUCCGUCGCGGGGCCCACAGGGCCCAGGUGUGCAUUAUUUCCCUCCCAUCAAUCCUGUUCUUCUUCUGAAACUCUCAGUGUGCAGAUGUUGGAAUGUCUGGCUUCGUCCUCCAUUUCCUUUUUUUUUUUUUUCAUACUUUCCCUCUAUCUCGCUCUGCUGUGUACAAAAAAACUUGGGCAUUUUCAAGUACAAAGCAAAGGAAGCAAUAAAGCAUCCCCAGAUAUUUGAGGAAAGCUGACAUCACAAAGUGGAGAAUUCCUUGACUGUGUGUUCCAGGCACAAGUUCGUUCUUCAGCCUUUUCUUCCUGUUAUUCACCCCAUCACUUUUUAAUUUUUUUUGGAUGUCACAUUUUUCAUAUUUAUAUUUUCAGUUCCGUUUUUAAGGCUGUAUCUUCUCUAUGGAUAAA
rnacentral:lncRNA from 1 species